UAUAUUUUAGUGUAUGAUGCACAAAAAUUUUUGAUAUUUUUAGUAAUAGUUUAAUUCUAUUAAAUAUAA
rnacentral:tRNA from 1 species